rnacentral:lncRNA from 1 species
AGCCACUUCUUUUAAAAAAAAUCUGAAAUUUUUCUCUCCCCCCUCUUCUUUUUCCAAAAGCCGGCCAAGAGUCCGGCCAAGGGCCACCGUACCGGCCACCGGUCGCCGGUGCCGGCGCCGCCGUGCACGGCGGCGGGGAGACCAAAAGUCUCCCCUUUUUUCGCGGAAUGGCCUCCUCGGUGAGUUUCCCUCUCUUCUUCUUUAUUUUCGUUAAAAAAAUAAAUAAAAACAACGAUAAAAUAAAUAAAUAAAGAAAAACGCAAGAUUGCAAUCUAAGAACCAGGAAUCACCUUGGUUUUCCUUGCCUUUUUAUUUAUUUUCUUUGAUUUUGUCUGACUAUUACAAAAGGAGAAAUCCAAAGAAAAAAAAAAAAAAAACCCCCUUUUAAGUUACAUUUCUUUCGGCUUUUAUAUCCGAUUUUACUAUUGUUGUUGUUUCCUUUGCAGGUGGCUGGCGGCGCAAGUGGCGAUGGUGAUGGACGUGUGGUGGUGAAUGACGUGCGGUGGUGGCAGUGGCUAGGGGUAGGGUGCGGCGCCACUUGAUUAGGGGCUAGGGUUUUACUUUUGUUUUUUCUGAAAAUGGGUAUUGGGCCUGGGGUAUUGGGUUUGGUUCAAUUGGGUUUGGGUUUAGGUCUUGGGCUGGUGGGUUAGUUGGGUAGUUGGGUCUGUUUUUGUUUUGUUUGUUGGGCCCAGGUUUGGGCAAAAUUGGGUUGUACAGUUGCCCCUCUUUGCUCGUUGUCGUGUAACGAGAACAGAGCAAAGACUAAGAAAGACCAAUUUUGCCCGGUCUCGCCGAGUCUUGACUUCUUGGUGCCUUUCUUCUUCAAGUAUUUUCACUCCAGUCCACUGUGUCUUGUUGCUUCAAUUCAUUCCACUGCAACUUGAAAAAGAUGAGACUUGUAGCUUCAAUUCAUUCUGUUGUAACUUCAAGGGAGUGAGAUUCGGUUUCAGUCUGUUCUACUGCAACGUCAGGGAGAUAAGACUUGCUAUGAUAGAUUUAAUCUGACCUACUUCAACUUCAGAGGUAUAGGCAUUGGUGCUUCGGCCCACUCCGCAAUGUCAGGGAGAUAGAAUUACUGGCUUCAAUGUACUUCACUGUAAUCACAGGGACGUAAAAUCUGCCAUCUUCAAUUGUCUCCACUUUGAGAGAUAAGAUCUGAAAUCUUCAAUCUAUUCUACUGCCCACCAAGGAGGUAGAAUUAUUGGCUUCAAUGUACUCCACUAUAACCACAGGGAGGUAAAAUCCACCAUCUUCGAUCUGCUCCACUACUGCUUAAGGAGGUAAAAUCUGAUACGAUCUACUCUACUGUAACUUCAGAGAGAUAAGAUCCUUCAUUUUAAUCCGCUCCACUAUAAUCUCAGGGAGAUAGGAUUACCAGCUUCAAUCUGCUCCGCUGUAACCUCAGGGAGAUAAGAUCUGAAAUUCUUCGGUCUACUCCACUGUAACCUCAGGGAGAUAAAACCUGAUGCGAUCUACUCUGCUGUAACUUCAGAGAGAUAAGAUCUUUUAUUUUAAUCCGCUCCACUGUAACUUCAGGGAGAUAGGACAAUGUCUUCGAUCUGCUCCGCUGUAAUCUCAGGGAGAUAAGAUCUGAAAUUCUUCGGUCUACUCCACUGUAACCUCAGGGAGAUAAGACCUGAUGCGAUCUACUCUGCUGUAACUUCAGAGAGAUAAGAUCCUUUAUUUUAAUCCGCUCCACUGUAACUUCAGGGAGAUAGGACAGUGUCUUCGAUCUGCUCCGCUGUAAUCUCAGGGAGAUAAGAUCUGAAAUUCUUCGGUCUACUCCACUGUAACCUCAGGGAGAUAAGACCUGAUGCGAUCUACUCUGCUGUAACUUCAGAGAGAUAAGAUCUUUUAUUUUAAUCCGCUCCACUGUAAUCUCAGGGAGAUAGGAUUACUAGCUUCAAUCUGUUCCGCUGUAAUCUCAGGGAGAUAAGAUCUGACACGAUCUACUCUACUGUAACUUCAGAGAGAUAAGAUCCUUUAUUUGAAUCCGCUCCACUGUAAUCUCAGGGAGAUAGGAUUACUAUAUUCAAUCUGCUCCACUGUAAUCUUAGGGAGAUAAGAUCUGAAAUUCUUCGGUCUGUUCCACUGUAAUCUCAGGGAGAUAAGACUUGACACGAUCUACUCUGUUGUAACUUCAGAGAGAUAAGAUCCUUUCUUCAAUCUGCUUCACUACAAUCGAUGGAGGCAAGGCUUUGUUUUCGAUCUGCUUCGUUGUUAACGCAGGAAGACAAGAUCUGCUAUCUUCAAUCAGCUCCACUACAACCGAUGGAGACAAGGCUUUAUUUUUUAAUCUGCUUCGCUGUUAACGCAGGAAGGUCAGAUCUGCUGUCUUCAACCAGUUCCACCUCAACCGAUGGAGACAAAGCUUGUAUCUUCGAUCUGCUUCACUGUCAAGGCAGGAAGGUAAGAUCUGUUGUCUUUGAUCUGCUUCGCAGUCAGUACAAGAAAGUUAGAUCUGAUGUCUUCAUUAAUCUGUUCUCUGGGGAACAUGACCUGUAUGUUCUAUUUUAUGAACCUAAUUGUGCCUAGUGAUUAGGAUGACAUGAUCAUAACGAAUCAAAUGCUCCUAACUAGAUGUGUAUGAAUGACAUGCAAAAUGUCAUGAAAAUGAUUCCUUAAUGCUUAGGUUAUCAUCACACAAAAACUUAUUAAGGCUUUAUCACUGACGUGCUACAUCGCCUUCUUGCUCGGCUAGCAUAUCCAAAGAAACACUUAAUCUGAUUGCCCCUCAUUGUGAACGUCAAAGUUCAAUCCACUAGGACAUAAAAUUUGUAUCAUCAUUCUCCCACUGUAAUCCAAGAGUAGAAAGAUAUGGCUUUUCUCAAUCUUCUCCUAUCGCUAUUCAAGGACACAGAAUGUGAAACUCUUUGGUUUCCUACACCAUUCCCAAGGUGUCAUACCAAAUGCUCAUGCACAAUUGCAAAAUUUUAUUUCCCAAGAAAACCUUUACUUAUCACUCAGUGAUCCUUGCUUGUUUGUUCAUUGAAGCUUUGUCACCAAUACGGCAUCUUGUCAUUUUGUUCAAUCAAUGUUUAGACAACAAAAUCUAAAAGGAUAGUCUUUAACUUAGACUCUUCCUUCUUAGAUAUUUCACCCUUUAAACUUGGUGUUUUCUAAACAAUAGUCCUGUUUCAGGUCCCUAUAUUAUUUAGAAACUUCUAGAGUAAUAUGCAAAACUUUCAUUGUGAAAGUAUCAUCAUUCCAAUGCAACAUUAUUCUAAUGCAACAUGCUUGCAAAGAGAACAUAAUGAUAGAUAAAAUAGAAUUGAUUUGAGAGCAUAGCUCGAAAUGAAUGAAUUAUCAAGGGUAGCAAGAAUAAAAGAGGAAUUGAUUGGAACACGUAUCUUGAAAAAGAAUGAAGUAUUCCAAGAACAACAACAAAUUCAAUAUAUAAAUAGUAUGAAGAUUAGGUGCCCCAGAUAUCGCAGCUUGAACUUCUCUGUACAAACUUUCCGAAAUCUUUUUUGAGUUUGACAUGUGUUUAGGAGAUCUACAGGACUCUGUCGAUGCCCCAAGAUGUCGCCUUACCCUUUCAGGUAUAGCAAGAUCACCGUAUGCCCCAAUCUGAUCACUUCAUGCCCCAUUCUGAUCAAUAUUUGAGCCGCCCUUCGGGUUUUCAACUCAAAUCCCCUUUGGCUUAAGGUGCCCUUUGCGGGUUUUCCCCUUAGCCUCUCCAUUUUUACUUUUUCAUUUUUUCAUUUUUCAUUUUUAUUUUUCUCAUUUCUUUUUCUUUUUUUCUUCUUUUUUUGUUUGACUCAAAGUGCCCUUUGCAGGUUUUCACCUUGGUCCUUCCUUUUUCUUUAAACGAAGUGUUUCUUGACUGGAUCCGAGUUUAUAGGAUUAGCAAUCUCACUCAGGAUCAGUGCUCCUCUGAAAAUGGUCUUCUUUACAACAUAGGGACAUUCCUGGUUUGGCAUUCAUUUCCCUUUGGAAUCCUUUCGUUAAGGAAGAAUCUUUUUCAACAUCCAGCCCUCUCGUGGAAUUCUCUGAGACGAGCCUGUUUAUUAUGGGCUCAUAUUAUUUAUUUAUGGUACAUCUGACCCUGAUGAAUAGCCUUUUAACCCGUUUCCUCGGGCCAACUAAUCAUAUCGCGAUUGGAUUCCUCCAACAAGCAAUGAGGGGAUUUUAAUAGGUAAAACUACCUCAAUCCUGUAAACCAAAAAGAGAGGUGUUGCCCCAGCACAGAUGUUUGACAAACAAUGAGGGCAAAUGGUAAUUUCUCACGUCAAUCCUUGUAAGUCUCAGUCAUUUUCCUUCNNNNNNNNNNNNNNNNNNNNNNNNNNNNNNNNNNNNNNNNNNNNNNNNNNNNNNNNNNNNNNNNNNNNNNNNNNNNNNNNNNNNNNNNNNNNNNNNNNNNUAGGAACUUCAGUGACGAAUCAUGGUGUCCACUUCUGAGUUAAUUUGAGACCUCAGCUAUCGUGCUAUUGUUUAAGCUCAAUGCAUUCUCCAAUACCCUCUUCUCUGAAAUUCUAUAUCGGUAUACGAUGACUUUGGCUCAUGAAGUAGCCUCUCAAAAAAUGAAGCAAUGCCCAUUAGAAGUCUUCGAUAAUGGUGAUGUCCAUGCCCCAUUUUGUUUAAAAUUUGAGUCGCCCUUUUUCGGGUUUUCAACUCAGAUCCACCUUUGGUCAAAGCGUCCUUUGCGAGUUUUCGCCUUGACCUCUCCUUUUUUCUUUUUCUUUUUCUUUUUUCUUUUUUCUUUUUCUCCUAUUUUUGACUUUGAUUUUUUUUUAUUUUUUUGAUUUUUUGAUUUUUUGAUUUUUUUUUUGAGUCUAAACUCAUGAGAUCAGACAAGUCCUGGUCAUGUUUUUCGACCAGAAUCAAUGUUAUUCUAAAGUUUUCCACAUAAAAUCUUCUACUUUCAUCAUGUAUGUGAGAAACCUUCUUUGGUACCAAAUUUCUUUCAUAGAGCCCUUUUGGAACGCAACUACGACAGAAAACUUUGGAUCUUCCUCUUUAAUCCGGACAAAAUCCAACAACAUUUUGAAGGGAUGGAAACUCGACUUCAAAUGGGCAAAGCUAUGCUAACUCAACGAAAGAGGCAUUGCUCCGGCAAAGAAUUACAUCGUUCGUACUUGUAAAUUUCUGACAUCGUGCGGUUGUGCAGGUUUUAUUACAAGAAUCGAGGCAUACCCUGGUAUGAUCAUACAAAGACAUCUUUGAAUUCUUCGUCUCUAUGGGCAGGUCAAUUCUAGCCUUCACCAAGCUCACAAUUUCUAAUGAUUCAUUGAGAGGUAGGAUCCGUUUAUCCUCUUGUUCUACCAUCCUCAACAAGUUUGGAGAUAAGCUACGAUCUGUGUCAUCUUCAAAGUCGUGAGAUCCCUCUAAACCCAUGUCUCGCUCAAAAGGAGAUUCUAAGUCUGUAGCAGUGUCAUUCAUAUCGUUGAUAUCCAGGGACCUAUUGUAGGUACAAAAGAAUAUACAAAGAAUGUAUGAAUUUAAGAAUAAUUAUCUGCACAAUAUGAUUAUGAAUGAAUGAAAGAAUGAUUUGGAUGAAAGAAUAAAAGAAUAAAAAUAAUCAUUCAUAAGAAAUGAAAGAAUAUUGGUUCAAAAGAUCGCAAAGAUGCAUUCCAUUAAAAUAAUGACGUUCAGACAUGAGCCUAUUUCACAAAAGACUUCUUGUUGCCUCUAGGCUAAAAGCAACAAGUGUGUUUUGAAUAUUACUCUGAGUAAGCUCUAAAUACUACAGGGAUUCCUUUAAAACACUCUCAAGUUUAUAAGGGCGAACAUCUGAUAAGAUCUCUUCUCCGAUUGCUUCUUCGUAUUCGGCACUGAUGUGAACGUUUCCCAACAUCUCUUCAUUCAUUGCAUUCCUUUCAUUAUCCGUAUGAUUGAGUAGCGGGUUUUCUGUACUAGAUAAAUCGUCCAAUUUGACAAUGCCUAUACUGAUAAGCCUUUCAACCACCUUUUUAAAGGCGAUGCAAUUUUCUAUGGAAUGCCCCGUAUUUCCCGCAUGAUAUUCGCAUUGUGCAUUCGCAUCAUGCCAUUUGGGGUACGGAGGCUGUGGAGGUUUUAAGUAGAAAGGGGAAACGAUGUGCGCAUCGAAUAACUUUUGGUACAACUCCUUAUACGUCAUCGGAAUUGGCGUGAACUGGAGGUUCUCAGUACCUUGUUUCACUCCUGAUUCUUGCUUUGAAGACCUCUGAUGGCUAGCGACCCCUUUACCUGGAUGACUUACUGACCUUGAGUAACCUGUGUUGUUCACCUCAUUUUCUCUUUUCCUCGGGGCUUUCCUUUUAUUGCUCUCCCCUCCGUCUAUUCUUCCACUUUUCAUAGCAUGCUCGAUCAUUUCGCCGCUCAUGAUUAUAUCCAAGAAAUUCUUUGAAGCGCUUCCCAACAUGUGAGUGAUGAAUGGCGCUUUCAAUGUAUUAAUAAAAAGCGUCGUCAUUUCUUUUUCCAAAAGAGGUGGUUGCACCUGCACUGCCACUUCUCUCCACCUCUGUGCGUACUGUCUGAAGCUCUCGUUUGAUUUCUUCUCCAAAUUCUGCAGAGUUAUCCUGUCAGGCAUCAUUUCUGAGACAUGAUUGUAUUGUCUCAUGAAUGCCUGUGCCAAAUCUCUCCAAGUAGCAAUUUUGGUCCGGCUUAGCUGAUUGUACCAUUUUAACGCCGCACUUAUAAGACUAUCCUGAAAGCAGUGUAUUAAUAAUUGAUCAUUAUUAAUAUACCCCGUCAUUCUCCUGUAGAACAUAGUGAUAUGAGCUUCUGGGCAACUAGUCCCAUUAUAUUUCUCGAAUUCCGGCAUCUUAAAUUUGUAAGGAAGCACCAAAUCCAGAACUAAGCUCAGAUCUUUCGCAUCUAUUCCACGAUAACUGUCGAUACUUUCUAUCGCCCUAAACUUCUCUUCAAUCCAUUUCCAUUUCUCCUCAAACUGUUUUGGUAACUCUUCCUUUAUUUUGUCUUUCUCAGCUACUUCAUCGAAGUCCGGGACAACCAGAUUAUCGCCAGGACUAGAACCAGAUCUUACCUGAAGGUUCUUCAGUAUUGAAGCAUCAUCUUGAAAGUGCUGAGGCCUAAUCGAAACAGAAGGUCUUCGUGGAUGUGGUUCAAUCUGAAUUUGCGCUUGCAGAGGCGUGAAUCCUGGAGGAAAAAGUGGCUCAUCAUUGUUUCCUUCUUCAUCGCAAAUCACAGGACUUUUCCCUUUAUCCGCUCCCUUGGUUAUUAAUUGCAUUAAUUUAGUCAUUAGGUCAUCUUGAGACUCUUUCACCUUUUGCACCAUGUCUUUCUGGAUCUUUUCCAUAUGUUCCUUCAUUUGCCUCUGUAGCUGAUCUUGCAUCUCUUUUUGCGUUUGCUCCAGUUUCUCUAACCUUUGAUCCAUUUCUUUGGCUUUGCGACGAGUACUGUAAGGAUGUUUGGUUGAUUGGUUUUCCAGAUUAGUUGAAAUAAAUUUACUCAAUUAGACACUUUAAAUGGACUCUAAUGCAUGUAAUGCAAAUGCAUGAGAUGUAUGCCUAAAGAGACAUUGAUCCUGAUUCAAUUACAUUUAGAAAACUUUCUAGAAAGCAGAUUCCCUUACAUAAAACGGAUACAUGUACGGCUUCACCCUCAUAUUCCAAGAAACAACAUCGAUCUUUUUCUUCAUCUGCAUGUUUGAGGUAAUCUUGCCAAUAGAUGCCAUUGCUAGCUCCUUCUCUUAAUCUUGGUCGCGAUCCAUCACCUGCCCAUCUUCAUAAAGCUUGUCAGCUUCUUUAAGGGCAUUGACACGUUGAAGGCCCUCAGAUGAUCGCUUUGAAUCCACAGGCCCCGGUGCAAGGUCACGAACUCUUUUAUCGCCCUUCUUGUGUUUCUCAGAAUAUAUUUGGGAAGUCGUAUUGUUUUCCACUUUAUCAAGGAAUCCGUAUUCCAUGACAAGCUUUCUAAUUCAGUAAUCAGACUUGAAUCAAUAUCUCUUUCCUAAGAUGCAGAUGCGAUGCAAUCAUAAUCAAAGCAUAAUAAGAGGGGUUAGUACAAAAAUAAACAAGGAGAACAGAAAGUACCUAAUCGGGUGACUACUAGGGGUUUGGAGUGGCUCUAUCUAGGCUAAGUUCCUAAGUCCACUAUAUGAGGUUUGGCUCUAAAGAUAAGGGUACCCGAACCAGCAGAUUCCUCGAUCCUCACCCAUUAUAGGCUCAUACUGACCAAGUUCGGUUCAGGGGAAUACAUUUCCCUAUGGCUGCACGGAGAUGAAAAUCUCACGAAGACAUAGGUACGGAUGUAUCCCGAAAGCGAUCCACUAUCCUGCACGGAGGUGAAAACCUCACGAAGGAGUAGCUUCUCACUCCCACUUAAAAGGUGUGACCAGCGGUCAUGCAAUGCAAUGCAGAAAGAUAUAAAAAUUUAAAAUACAAAACAUGAUGAAAACUAUAACUCAAAACAAAUGAAAUGCAAUGAGAGGAUCGUAUAUUUAAAUCAAAUUUUCAACUUUUGACAAAAAGACAAGAAAUAAUCAANNNNNNNNNNNNNNNNNNNNNNNNNNNNNNNNNNNNNNNNNNNNNNNNNNNNNNNNNNNNNNNNNNNNNNNNNNNNNNNNNNNNNNNNNNNNNNNNNNNNCUUAUUUAAAGUCCCCAGCGGAGUCGUCAAGCUGUUGACACCAUUUUUUGGAUGGGAAACGGGGUCGACUUGGAUUUUGAAAAUGAAAACGGGAGUCGCCACCAAUCUUUUUUUGAUGAGAUGUGAUCGGGUCACCUUUAAAAGCAGUUGUUUUUAAUAAACAAUUUAAUUUUAUUAAAACAACGAGUUUGGUCUACAAAAUUCAGAAAACGGAUUCGGGAGUCGGUUACGCACGAGGAAGGAUUAGCACCCUCGAUACGCCCAAAAUUGGUACCUAGUUGAUUACUUAAUGUCUUAAUGUCAAAAAUUGAGACCUUUGAAGAAUUUUAAAAAAUACGAUCCUUGUAUUAAAACGUUAAAAAUUUUCAGGAAAAGGGGCAUAUUUCACGUUAAUCGAGGAAGAGAAUCAUAUCCAGUAAGUUAGGACACAAUGUCUCGAAUUCCCGAUACGCGAAUGAAAAAUGCUUAUUUAAAAGAUAUUUAAUUAUCUUGGAUUUAAAAAGGGAUCACGACCAGUAAGUUAGGACACGAUCCUUUUUUAAUUCCCGAUAUUGUUUAAAACUUGAGUUUAAAAAGAUUCGUGUAAUAAAAUUAAAAGGAUAUUCAAUUUUUUAAAUCAAAUGAAGAAAUCGCAGCCCAAUACGUUAGGGCACAAUUUCUCAAAAUAUUAAACAUUGAAUAUUACAUUUAUUUUAAAAAUCUUCAUCUCGAGAAACCAGCGUGUCACAUCCAAUGCACUAGGACACGACAUAUUGAAUUCUCGAUAACGAGCUUUUUAUCAUUUUUAAAAGAGUAAUCUCGAUUAUUUAAAUUCAACGAAAAAAGUCGGGACCCAAUACGUUAGGGCUCGAUUCUCUCGAAGAUCCAAAAUACCGAAUAUUACUUAUUUCUAAAAAUUAUUUUCAAAUCUAAUAAAAUGGGUGUAAUGGAUUGACGAUGAUAAUGAUGUAAGCAAAAUACUCACGAGGAAAAUAAAAUAUAAGUAAAUAAGAAGUCACAUAUAUAUAAAUAAAAUCAAUCUCAUAUGUACAAUAAUAAACAAAUAUAAAGCAUAACAAAUAAUAAUAGUGGACAUGUAAAUAAAUAAAUAAAUGAAGAAAAUAAAUAAAAGAUAUACACGUAUGAAUUAUAAAAUAUAACAAUAUAAGUAUUUACAUAUAUAUAUAUAUAAAUACGUUAUAAAAUACAAAAAUAUAUAAAAUAUAAGUAUGUACAUUAUAAAAAGUGUGUAUGUACGAGCAAGUAUGCAUUUUAAAAUAUAUGUGUAUAUAUAUAUUUUUUGGAAAUUAUAAAUAUAAAAGAUACAUGUAUGUACAUAUAUGUAUAUAGGAAAAUAAUAAAAAGUUAUAUAGAUAUAUAUAGGCAUAUAUAUAUAUAUAAAUUAUAAAAUAUAAAAGAAUGCGUUUGUAUGUAUAUAUAAAUAAAUUAUAAAAAUAUACGUACAAGCAUAAUGCAUAUAUAUAUAUAUAUAGAAUAAAUAAAAAAUAAAAAUAAAAAAAAACAAAACUAACGAAUAAGUAAAAGGGCAAAUAAAACUAAUAAUGAUAAUAAUUAAUAAUAAUAAUAAUAACAAUAAUAAUAUGAAAUUUGUUAAGAAAAUAAACAAAAUAGCAAAAGGACUUGAUUAAACAUUAAAACAAGAUUCGGGGGUUCAAAACUCAAAUAAACGAAAAGGGAAGGACUGUUCUGAACACGCAUAAAACAUGGGGGGACCAGCAAAGAAAAUUGCCCUUCCUUUAAAAUGACGUAGUUCAGGUAAGGAUUUAAUUGAAAACGCAAAACAAAUUUCUGGGUAAAAUUCAAAAGAUUAAAAGAUCCUAAUUUUAAAAGCAUUAAAAAGCGGAAGGGCUAAACGUGCAAUUAGCCCUUCCGUCAAAACGCGCGGAUCCCCUAAGGCAGAUGGGUCGGGUCUCGGGUCAGGAGCCCAAAAUGACGUCGUUUUGGGGCUGUCCUGACCUUAUCAAAACGGCGCCGUUUUAUCUUGGGUAUUUAAACCCAAAUUUCCUUCAAAAAUUCAUUUCAGCCACUUCUUUUAAAAAAAAUCUGAAAUUUUUCUCUCCCCCCUCUUCUUUUUCCAAAAGCCGGCCAAGAGUCUCCCCUUUUUUCGCGGAAUGGCCUCCUCGGUGAGUUUCCCUCUCUUCUUCUUUAUUUUCGUUAAAAUAAAUAAAUAAAAACAACGAUAAAAUAAAUAAAUAAAUAAAAACGCAAGAUUGCAAUCUAAGAACCAGGAAUCACCUUGGUUUUCCUUGCCUUUUUAUUUAUUUUCUUUGAUUUUGUCUGACUAUUACAAAAGGAGAAAUCCAAAGAAAAAAAAGAAAAACCCCCUUUUAAGUUACAUUUCUUUCGGCUUUUAUAUCCGAUUUUACUAUUGUUGUUGUUUCCUUUGCAGGUGGCUGGCGGCGCAAGUGGCGAUGGUGAUGGACGUGUGGUGGUGAAUGACGUGCGGUGGUGGCAGUGGCUAGGGGUAGGGUGCGGCGCCACUUGAUUAGGGGCUAGGGUUUUACUUUUGUUUUUUCUGAAAAUGGGUAUUGGGCCUGGGGUAUUGGGUUUGGUUCAAUUGGGUUUGGGUUUAGGUCUUGGGCUGGUGGGUUAGUUGGGUAGUUGGGUCUGUUUUUGUUUUGUUUGUUGGGCCCAGGUUUGGGCAAAAUUGGGUUGUACAAAAUUUUAAUAAUGUUUUAAUUUUUUAUGAAAUAUAUGUGAAUUGCCACACUAAUACUAUUAAAUUUUCAUGAUCUAGUCAACUUUUUCAUCUAGAAAAAUACAAUUGAACUAAAUUUUGAAGAUUGAGAAGCAAAAUAAUCCAAUAAAAAAUAAAACAAAAAAAAUAAUAAAAAAAAUUAUCAUCAUAUACUCUACUCUUUUUUCCCCCCA